GGCAGUGGUGGCUCAGUGGUUAAGACUUACUACUGAUUGGAAGGUCAUGAGGUCAAAUCCCAGCACUGCCA